GGUGAACGCUGGCGGUAGGCCUAACACAUGCAAGUCGAACGGCAGCACAGUAAGAGCUUGCUCUUACGGGUGGCGAGUGGCGGACGGGUGGGGAAUACAUCGGAAUCUACUUUUUCGUGGGUGAUAACGUAGGGAAACUUACGCUAAUACCGCAUACGACCUACGGGUGAAAGCAGGGGAUCUUCGGACCUUGCGCGAUUGAAUGAGCCGAUGUCGGAUUAGCUAGUUGGCGGGGUAAAGGCCCACCAAGGCGACGAUCCGUAGCUGGUCUGAGAGGAUGAUCAGCCACACUGGAACUGAGACACGGUCCAGACUCCUACGGGAGGCAGCAGUGGGGAAUAUUGGACAAUGGGCGCAAGCCUGAUCCAGCCAUACCGCGUGGGUGAAGAAGGCCUUCGGGUUGUAAAGCCCUUUUGUUGGGAAAGAAAAGCAGCAGGUUAAUCCCCCGCUGUUCUGACGGUACCCAAAGAAUAAGCACCGGCUAACUUCGUG
rnacentral:rRNA from 1 species